UAACACACCUUGGUCCAUGACAUAGCCUC
rnacentral:sRNA from 1 species